CUGCCCGUGGCGUAGCUGGAUAACGCAGCGGAUUCCGAUUCCGAAGAACGGGGGUUCAAAUCCCUUCGGGCAGACCA
rnacentral:tRNA from 1 species